rnacentral:rRNA from 1 species
GAUGAACGCUGGCGGCGUGCCUAAUACAUGCAAGUCGAGCGAACAGACGAGGAGCUUGCUCCUCUGACGUUAGCGGCGGACGGGUGAGUAACACGUGGAUAACCUACCUAUAAGACUGGGAUAACUUCGGGAAACCGGAGCUAAUACCGGAUAAUAUAUUGAACCGCAUGGUUCAAUAGUGAAAGACGGUUUUGCUGUCACUUAUAGAUGGAUCCGCGCCGCAUUAGCUAGUUGGUAAGGUAACGGCUUACCAAGGCAACGAUGCGUAGCCGACCUGAGAGGGUGAUCGGCCACACUGGAACUGAGCCACGGUCCAGACUCCUACGGGAGGCAGCAGUAGGGAAUCUUCCGCAAUGGGCGAAAGCCUGACGGAGCAACGCCGCGUGAGUGAUGAAGGUCUUCGGAUCGAAAAACUCUGUUAUUAGGGAAGAACAAAUGUGUAAGUAACUAUGCACGUCUUGACGGUACCUAAUCAGAAAGCCACGGCUAACUACGUG